AGAGUCUAUAUGUAUAUAAAUAGGGUUUUGCCCAUUAUGAAUAAAUCAGAGUUAUUGUCCGUAAGACUUGAGUAUUUUGAAAGUUUUCCUCUGUUGAAAUUUAUAUUUCUGAAUAGCAGAGUCUUUAUUCAAAUUCAUAUCACCAAACGCAACAUUCAGAGGUCGUAUUCAAAUUCAUAUCAUCAAACACAUCAUUAAAAGUUCGUAUUCAAAUUCAUAUCAUCAAACAACAUCUAGGUUAGACAUCUUAUCUAUUAUCAUCUUUAUUAUUAUCAUAUCAUUAAUAUUUGAUUUCAUUUUGGGGAAGCACAGUCUCCCUAUUGUCUCCGUCUUUGAAAACAAUCACUCAUUAUAUAUUAUAUAUACAUACUAAUUUACAAUGACCACUUGGACAGUACUUUUCUAUCAUUGGAUGGAAUUUUUGUUUUUAUUUUUCUUUGUUGACUCUCUUUUUCUGGAUUAUUUUUUUAUUUGGGAACGUGUGUUUUUUUUUUCUAUAUACACCGCUUCAACACGUGUUCCUCAUCUUUCAUCCUCAUCGGCUCACCCAUCGACUUAGUUUAAUCCCUCCAUCGCCUCACACCACCUGCUCUACUUUCCACCGAUUAUGGUGAUGGGAUCAAGAAAAGGAGGGUAUCCGCUGAUGGUGACAGUCUUGAGGUCGCCAUUUACAGAUCUAAAGGCACCCUGGUAUGUUUACAACAUUCAUCGAUUGUAAAUAGAGGGUAACAAAGAAAUCAUAUCGGAUCCCACUUCAAUUAUUGUUGAUUUUCGUCUCUCACUGCCUUCAAUUAUUGUUGAUUUUCGUCUCUCACUGCCUUCGAGCAUCCACUGCUGACUUUGUAAGCAGCACCUUCUUGCCCUUAGCAUCACCAUUGCUUUCAGUUUCAAGCCUUAAACCGUACUCUCUGCGCUUCCGGUAGGAGGAGGAGGAGGGUCGGAGUCCGAAGAAGGUGCAUGUCAUGAAGCAGGAAACACAACUUACGUGGAUGAUCCGCCGAAUCGAACAGCUUAAAGGUUGUGAGGCAGUGAACAUGAUGGAGGAAUGGUCGCCGAAGUUCCCAAGAAAGUAACAUCUUCUGUUUUCCUAUCAGUUGCAUGUUAGGUGUUUCCUGAAAUGGCUGAUUGAAUCUAUCUUUCGUGUAAUUUAACUCAUUUUGCCCAUUGUAAUUUGUAUCACAUAACUUAUUCUUAUUAUGAUUGUACCAUUAUAUUUCAUUUUGCAAAUACAAAAUGGAAAUUAGAUU